UAGAUCGACUUCUUCAUCAAUCGAAACUCUCUGCUCUCUCCCGCGCUCAAAGUUUUGGUUCCCUCUCAAAAUUUUCGCCAUUCAUUCAUAAUUUCCGCUCAACCUUCAGUCAGAAUUUCUGCGGCUCAUUCCCUUCGGCAAUUGUAGUUAGGGUUCUCGAAUUCGUAGCGCCCAAGACCUCCGUCAUCUGAAGCCCACUGCUGUCCAAGACCUCCGCCGCCUCCAUCGUCAUCUGAAGCCCACUGCUGUCAAAGACCUCCGCCGCCUCCGUCAUCAUCUGAAGCCCACUGCUGUCCAAGACCUCCGUCGUCGUAGCGCCCAAGACCUCCGCCGCCUCCGUCAUCUGAAGCCCACUGCUGUCGCCGGCGACGAAGCCUCCUUGCUAACGACGUCGUUCCUGCUCCAUUUUUCUUCUUCCCCAACCAGUUAGUGUCUCUCUCGCUCUCACACCGGUGAAUCUGAAAAAAGAGGCACCACACCGUCGCAACGAAUCUGAAAAAAGGGGCAGAGCUGCAAAGUUCAGGUUGGAAGAAUUUUGGUGAUAGAGAAAUUGAGAAAAGAUAAGCUUGAAGGUGAGUUUUAUAUACUCUUACUUUUACUUUUGCACCAUGGCUCAACUGGCAGCCAUGGUUAUGAAAAUACCAUAUUUAGAUAAGCAUGUAUCUAGGUGCUUUUAGUUUUGCACCAUGGCUCAUCUGGCAGCCAUGGUUUUGUAACUAGAUAAGCAUGUAUCUAGGUAGUUGAUAUGGAGAGUAGGUUGGGGAAUGGCUCGUUCCAUUCCAUUUGUUGUUGUGGCGAUGGCUUGGAGCCGACUAUAUGUGCUAUGUGUGUUUGUGUUGUGUAUUUCCUUGCUUACAUUUCAAAAUAUUUUGAUUAUGUUAUCAUGAAUGUGUUCGGCAAAGUGCACCCUGGUGUGUGACUGUGGAAUAGCACCCACCUUAGAAUAUCAUAAAUAAAAAAUAAAAGUACAUCGCGAGCUUUAAAACAUGGUUUUAGUAACUGAGAAAAUGUAAUAGAAACAAUAUUACAAUUAUACCUUCCUAGAAUAUUUGUCAGCUAGUUAUGUAAUAGAAAAAAUAUUACAUAUUACAAGUUAUUAUUAUGAGUGCCACAUGGAGAUUGGUAGGAGCUUCUCUCUUUCUUUUACAAGUCAUAAAAAAAUAAUCAUUAACUAAGAAAGUUAUUCAAAAUUUUAGGUGAUAAUAUAAGCAAAAAUUGUAAAGGAUAGAUAUACAUUUAAUUGUAAAGGAUAGAUAUACAUUUAACUUUAACUAGAUGCGUCACAUUUACAAGAUCUUUGC